AGUUCGGAUUAUGCUCAGAUUGUUGCUGGCGAUGCUUUACAUUACGCAAGUCGAACGGCAGCACGGACUUCCGGUCUGGUGGCGAGCAGAACGUAAAGAUAGCUGUAUCGAACGUGCCUUAGUAGCGGGGAUAACUACGCGAGCGUAGCCAAUACCGUAUACGCCCUUCGGGGGAAAGCGGGGGGACCUUCUGGCCUCGCACUAUUAGGAGCGGCCGAUAUCGGAUUAGCUAGUUGGUGGGGUGAAUGCGGGUCACCACAAGGACGAUCCGUAGCUGGCUCGAGAGGACGACCAGCCACACUGGGACUGAGACACGGCCCAGACUCCUACGGAGGCAGGGGAAUUUUGGACAAUGGGGAAAACCCUGAUCCACAUCCGUGUGCGAUGAAGGCCUUCGGGUUGUAAAGCACUUUUGGCGUGAAAGAACGCGGCACGGAUAAUACCCGUGCAACUGACGGUACCUUGCAGAAUAAGCACCGGCUAACUACGUGCCAGCAGCCGCGGUAAUACGUAGGUGCAAGCUGCCAUCGGAACGAUUGGGCGAAGUGCGCAGGCGGUUCGGAAAGAAAGAUGUAAAACCCAGAGCUUAACUUUGAACUGUACGCAAUUACUGAGCUAGAUGCCGAGGAGGAAUCGGCGUGUAGCAGCAAAUGCGUAGAUAUGCGGAGGAACACCGAUGGCGAAGGCAGCCUCCUGGGAUAACACUGACGCUCAUGCACGAAAGCGUGGGGAGCAAACAGGAUUAGAUACCCUGGUAGUCCACGCCCUAAACGAUGUCAACCAGCUGUUGGGGCCUUCGCCUUGGUGGCAGCUAACGCAGAAGUUGACCGCCUGGGGAGUACGGUCGCAAGAUUAAAACUCAAAGGAAUUGACGGGAACGCAAUAAAGCGGUGGAUGAUGUGGAUUAAUUGAUGCAACGCGAAAAACCUUACCUACCCUUGACAUGUCUGGAAUCCCGAAGAGAUUUGGGAGUGCUCGCAAGAGAACCGGAACACAGGUGCUGCAUGGCUGUCGUCAGCUCGUGUCGUGGGAGAUGUUGGGUCAAGUCCUGGCAACGAGCGCAAACCCUGUCAUUAGUUGCUACGAAAGGGCACUCUAUCGAGACUGCCGGUGACAAACCGGAGGAAGGUGGGGAUGACGUCAAGUCCUCAUGGCCCUUAUGUGGUACUCACACGCCAUACAACGGUCGGGACAGAGGGUCGCCAACCCGCGAGGGGGGAGCCAAUCCCAGAAACCCGAUCGUAGUCCGGAUCGCAGUCUGCAACUCGACUGCGUGAAGUCGGAAUCGCUAGUAAUCGCGGAUCAGCAUGUCGCGGUGAAUACGUUCCCGGGUCUUGUACACACCCGCCCGUCACACCAUGUGGAGCGGGCUUUACCAGAAGUAGUUAGCCUAACCGUAAGGAGGGCGAUUACCACGGUAGGAUUCACGACUGGUGAAGUCGUAACAAGGUAGCUCUAACAUGCCACCUGAUGCCCUG
rnacentral:rRNA from 1 species